rnacentral:lncRNA from 1 species
UCGUAACCAAAUUAUCUACUCUACCAUCUGGGUUUUAUCCAAUUUGAAUAACCUCCAGCCAGUCAUCGCUUUCUUCCCCAACAUGUCACUCAAUCACAUCCUCUGCAAACACCGGUAUUUGUAAGUUCUCUUCUUCUACCGUUUUCUUUUCUGAAUCUACUCCACUUGGACCUCCCUCUUCCAAUCUCCACCUCUGAUUCCUCGGUCCAGCGCUAAAAAAGAACAAUUUAAUUUUAAAACGCCAAACUUCCAUCCCAUUGCGCAGCCACAAGAACAUAACCCGCCACAACGAAUGCGUCGGUUAUCUCCAUCGCCAUCCACUGGCUAUGGCCUAGGGUUUUCUAAUAGCAAAAGUAGACAAAGCAUCGAAUCAGGUAAAACCAACUUCAAUGAUCCUUUUUCAAAAUCGGAAUCCUCGAGUUCUUUUAUCUUUCGUUCAGUUGCCACAAAGGAGGCCGAUAGUGCCAAUGGAUAGAACUCUACUGCAAGAAAUUCAGCUGUAUCCAUGGAUCCUUUUCCAAAAUCGGAAUCCUUGAGUUCUUUUAGCUUUCCAGUUGAAAAGGUAUCAUGUUUUUAUUGUUUUUUUAUUAGGUUCAUCGGAUUUGUCUAUAGUUGUGAUUGUCUUCAUUUUUAGGGAUUUAAUGACUCAAGUGAGAGGGUACCAUUUUUUUACUAUAUUGUUUCCAGUAUCCUGCCUACAAUCUGCAAACGGAUUUUUGUUAUUCCUUCUCUUGGUAACUUUUUUUUGUUCUUUUAUCUCUGUUCCUACAGGGAAUAUGAUCGCUUGCUUCAUAUUGCCAUUUGAAAGAGAGUCUCACUACGCACCCCAACUGCUCGAUGAAAUGCUUGAACCAAGAUGCCUAGAAAAGAUCAGUUUUUUUCUUCUGGAAAUAUGAAAAAAAGGUAAUUGUUUAUGAGUUUAAUGCAUGUAUUCAUUAUGUGUUAAAACAUUUUUUAAUUGGUUUUAAUUUUAUCUAAUUAUAACAUUUAGUAAUCAGUUUUCAUCAUCAACAUUUAUAUGUUGUUUUUUCGUAAAAUUGUUGGUUGUACUCUUCUGUUUAACCAUCUUUGCUCCUCUGUGGGAAACAGGUAAUUUCCAUUUAGAGAGAUUGGGCGUUCCCUCUUAACCAGACUUUUUUUUUUGGUAAAAUUUUUAAUUUUAUCUGAUUACACUUCUGUUUAACAUUUAUAUGUUGUUUUUUUGUAAUUUUUUUUUUGUUAAUUUUUUCUUUUUAACUUUUUGACCAAAUUAUUUUUUUUUUUAGUUUUUACUUAAUUUGUAUCAUAUAUGAUGUUUAUAAAGAAACAUAAGUAAAGUGCUAUUAUUGGUAUUAACUUUGCUUCCUAAACAUAAUAUUAUGACUUAUAUACAGGUGUGACUUAUAAUUUGAGUUGGGGCAGGAUCAUAGCUGGAAAUUUGAAGAUUAAGCUCAAACUUUUCAGUAGGAAAAGAGAAUAGUGAAACUGGAUUGACAGAAGUUUAAAUAUGCUUGAGAGGCAGGGGUAUAACUGGAAAGUUGAAGGUCGGUAGAUGGUUAAAGAGUUUUAGAGGUAGGGGCAUAAUUGGGAAGUUGAAGGUAAGCACAAAACCAUUUAUAUUCUGAAGUAAAAUUUAUAUUGUUGAUUCAUUGGGUAUACUUUUAUUAAUUUGGAUUUUUUUGUUGCAAUUUUUACGAAUUUGUGGUCUUGAGAAAUACUUUUACAUUUUUAAUUGUUUUGUAUCAAGAUUGUUUUUUGAUUUUUUAAUCAUCUUAUUUGAUUCUAUUACAAAUGUAAUUUUUGAUAUUGAUAGGUAUAUCUUUUUUAAAUGGAUACAAAUCUAAGUCUAUUGUUGCUAUGGGUAAAAAAAAGGCAAAAAAAAUCUGACCCGUGUGUUGCAGGGGCAUCUUCCCUAAUGGAUAUUAGUUUUAGGGAUCAAAUCUAUAACUAAACUAAAUCAAAAGACUACUUUUGAUAUUGAAACUUUUUAGGCUUUAAUAAAAAAAAAAGUACAAACCAUAGAAACUAUUUAGUUUUCUCUUUAACCAUUUGAUUCUUUUAGUGAUCAAAACCAAAAUAAAAUCAACCCAAGAAGGAUAGCCGAGAAGAAUAGUCAACAUUGCAAUUGAAAAAUUGAUCGGAUUCAGAAAAAUCAUAAAACCAUAGGCAUGGAUUAACGAGGACCUAAAUUGUUGAUUCUUUGAUUUUAAAAAGUUAAAUAUUACUAAUAUCAUAACAAAGUUUGUAAAUAUCAUUAAUAUCAUAACAAAAUAGAUUAAUAUAAUUAAUACAACAAUAAACAUUCUUCAAAUAAUUUCUAUUGAGAUAAAAAAAAUUUAAGUGAUAUAAUUUUAUCGCUUAUUAUUGUUCCCUUCAUUGUGUAGGCAUGGAUUAAUCAGUAGGCGUCUUCUAAUCGAAUAUUAAUAGGGACAUAGUCGGGAUUUUUGCAACACAGCUUAACAAA